rnacentral:rRNA from 1 species
GAAAAAMGACUYUCGGCAACGGAUAUCUYGGCUCUCGCAUCGAUGAAGAACGUAGCGAAAUGCGAUACUUGGUGUGAAUUGCAGAAUCCCGUGAACCAUCGAGUCUUUGAACGCAAGUUGCGCCCGAAGCCGUCAGGCCGAGGGCACGUCUGCCUGGGCGUCAC